rnacentral:rRNA from 1 species
UCUGGCUCAGAACGAACGCUGGCGGCGCGUUUAAGCAUGCAAGUCGUGGGGUAGAAUGCCUUCGGGCAUUUGAGACCGGCGGACGGGUGAGUAACACGUAGGUAAUUUACCUGAGGGUUGGGGAUAGCCCAUGGAAACAUGGGGUAAUACCGAAGAUACGCCUUGUUUCACACAAGUGAGAUAAGGGAAAGGUGCUUAGGCACCGCCCCCGGAUGAGCCUGCGUCUCAUUAGUUAGUUGGUGGGGUAACGGCCUACCAAGGCAACGAUGAGUAGCCGGCCUGAGAGGGUGAACGGCCACACUGGGACUGAGACACGGCCCAGACUCCUACGGGAGGCAGCAGCUAAGAAUCUUCCGCAAUGGACGAAAGUCUGACGGAGCGACGCCGCGUGUGUGAUGAAGGCGGAAACGUUGUAAAGCACUUUUCCUGGGGAAGAAUAAGGUGAGGAGGUAAUGCCUCAUCGAUGACACGAACUAGGGAAUAAGCCCCGGCUAAUUACGUGCCAGCAGCCGCGGUAACACGUAAGGGGCGAGCGUUGUUCGGAAUUAUUGGGCGUAAAGGGCGUGUAGGCGGCCUGGUAAGUCUGGUGUGAAAGACCGCAGCUUAACUGCGGGACCGCGCUGGAAACUAUUAGGCUAGAGUCUAAGAGGGGGAACUAGAAUUCCAGGUGUAGGGGUGAAAUCUGUAGAUAUCUGGAGGAAUACCGGAGGCGAAGGCGAGUUCCUGGCUAUAGACUGACGCUGAGGCGCGAAAGCGUGGGGAGCGAACAGGAUUAGAUACCCUGGUAGUCCACGCCGUAAACGUUGUGCACUAGGUGUUGGCCUUGAGGGGUCAGUACCGUAGCAAACGCGAUAAGUGCACCGCCUGGGGAGUAUGCUCG